AGAGUUUGAUCCUGGCUCAGGAUGAACGCUAGCGGCAGGCUUAACACAUGCAAGUCGAGGGGUAACAGGGGAGCUUGCUCCCGCUGACGACCGGCAAAUGGGUGCGUAACACGUACGAAACCUACCACUAACAUGAGUAUAGCCCAUAGAAAUGUGGAUUAAUCCUCGAUAGUAUAUUUUAGAGGCAUCUCUUUAAUAUUAAAGAUUUAUCGGUUAGUGAUGGUCGUGCGCAAGAUUAGCUAGUUGGUAGGGUAAAGGCCUACCAAGGCGACGAUCUUCAGCUGAUGUGAGAGCAUGAUCAGCCACACGGGCACUGAGACACGGGCCCGACUCCUACGGGAGGCAGCAGUGAGGAAUAUUGGGCAAUGGAGGCAACUCUGACCCAGCCAUGCCGCGUGAAGGAUGACGGCGUUCUGCGUUGUAAACUUCUUUUACUAGAGAAGAAAUGUUAUUUUUUCAAAUAAUUUGACGGUAUCUAGUGAAUAAGCACCGGCUAACUCCGUGCCAGCAGCCGCGGUAAUACGGAGGGUGCAAGCGUUAUCCGGAUUUACUGGGUUUAAAGGGUACGUAGGCGGACAUUUAAGUCAGGGGUGAAAUCCCGAGGCUCAACCUCGGAACUGCCUUUGAAACUAAGUGUCUUGAAUUAUGUUGAGGUUGGCGGAAUACAACAUGUAGCGGUGAAAUGCAUAGAUAUGUUGUGGAACACCGAUUGCGAAGGCAGCUGACUGAACAUAUAUUGACGUUGAAGUACGAAAGCGUGGGUAUCAAACAGGAUUAGAUACCCUGGUAGUCCACGCCGUAAACUAUGAUUACUCGAUGUACGCGAUAUACAGUGUGCAUCCAAGCGAAAGCGUUAAGUAAUCCACCUGGGAAGUACGUUCGCAAGAAUGAAACUCAAAUGAAUUGACGG
rnacentral:rRNA from 1 species